ACCUGAGAGCACAGGGGGAGGGACAAUGAUCACGAUAUAAACCCAGGCAUCCGAGCCAGCAAUGGCUACCCUCUUUGGGUCCCCUCCCUUUGUAGGGGAGCUCUGUUUUCACUCUAUUAAAUCUUGCAACUGCAUUCUCUUCUGGUCCGUGUUUGUUAUGGCUCGAACAGAGCUUUUGCUCGCUGCCCACCACUGCUGUUUGCUACUGUCGCAGACCCACCACUGACGUCUAUCCCUCUGGAUCUGGCAGGGUAUCCACUGUCCUAAUCCAGUGAGGGGCCCAUUGCUGCUCCCGAUCAGGCUAAAGGCUUGCCAUUGUUCCUGCACGGCUAAGUGCCUGGGUUCGUCCUAAUGGAACUGAACACUAGUCACCAGGUUCCAUGGUUCUCUUCUGUGACCCAUGGCUUCUAAUAGAACUAUAACACUCACUGCAUGGCCCAAGAUUCCAUUCCUUGGAAUCUGUGAGGCCAAGAACCCCAGGUCAGAGAACAUGAGACUUGCCACCAUCUUGGAAGCAGCCCACCACCAUCUUGGGAGCUCUGGGAGCAAGGACCCCCCGGAUACUAUAAGAAGAUUGGGAUAGAUACUGAGUGAGCCUCAGAAAAUCAGCUGGAUACACCCCAGCUCCCUCCCACCACAUGAACUAAAGAUCUGCAAGCUGUAACCUUUUCCGAAGGGCUACCUGGGCCUCUGUGUCCAUCAGAGCUGAUGAGCUGAUCUUCAUUCACCAUAAGUGCAACUAUCAUGGCUCAUGGAGCCCUGGAGAGAGUAGCACAUAUAUUGAACUUCAGUUUUAAAAAGUCUAAUACUUUUCUAAAAUGACUUGCUAUCUAUUUCAUCCAGAGAAGAUUUAUUACGUAGCCUUUCUAGCAUAAAAUAUCAUUACUUUUAAAGAAAAAUCCAAUCUAAAUUCCUCUAACUACAAUGGAAGUCCCCUUUUCUUAUUCAUUUCUCACUCAAAUAUGGAACAACCAGUCACUUCCAUUAAAUCUAAUCUUCCUGUAUGCUCUUGAAGAUAACUACCAGUUAAACAGAGCUAUCUAUGGGAAUGGUUUUUGAAAAAAAAUUGCGUUGUUUCAGUACUUUGGAGGAUGGCUGAUGUUUGCCUUUUCAAGAGAUGUAUCAUGGACUGUUUUUGUUAAACUAACUUGGCUUCAAGAAUUUGAGACUAACUCAGAUUUUCUCAAACAGUGGGGGAUUUGAUGCAGCAAUAUGCAGGCAUGGGAUAUCAGAAAGAGCCAGAUAACCAAAGGAAGAGUAGUAGCUGAAGCAGGAUUCUAAGACCAAGCUGCAGCAGAGCCAUCAGAAAACAACUCCUGAUUUUAGUUGAUCAGAUUCAAGUCAAUGAAAAAAUGACGUUUCUGUGUGUCUACUUCGGGCUAAGCACCAGGGUAGGCACAAGAGAGAUCACAGGGAUGAAUUAGUCCUAGCCCCUUGGAGAUUAUCCUCUCACCCUCUCCCCGCCAUAGUUAUCUUGGUCCUUUUCACAUAUAUCUUAGCAGGUUCUGUUUCAGGCAAAGUUUCACUUCUGUAUAUGUUUGUUACUACUGUUCAUUUGAGAUCUGCCACUAACCCUCAUUAUGACCUGGGACAUGUCUGUGGCCCCUCCACAUGCUGGCAGGAUAAAAAUUGACCAAAUAUAUGAUGCUGUCACAUAGAUGGAUCCUAUUAUUUGGUGAUUACAUUGAAAUCUUUACUGUAAAAAUUGUGUUGUCAAAAAUGAAAACAGAUGAUACUGAGUAACUCACUAGUGCCCUAAAGUACUCUACAGCUUUUCAAACAAAAUUGAAUAUUCUUUUCAACAUUCUCUCUGUAAAAAAAAAAAACAAUUCUAUAUUAGUGACCCUAUAUCCAAUAGCCAGUUCAAAUUUUGUUUUUCUCAUGUCAUACAUCUCUCUUUUGACUUCUCUGAAGUCAUCAAUCUACUGGCCACUUACCUUGUGACACAGUGGCAGAAGAUGUAGGAAAAUCUGUGCUACCCAUCAUUGACUAGCCACUUUACUAUCUGAGGUUUGUUAGUCUCAACUGUAAAAAAAGGAUCAAAUGAUCUGGUGUCCUUUUCCAUUCAAAGACUCUUGAGGUCAAAAGAAUUGAAUAGAAUCACAUUGGAGAAAAACCCUAUGAAUGUAAGAAAUGUGGUUUGGCCUUCAGUUUUCCCAGUUCUUUUUGAAAACAUGGAAGAGCUCAUGUGGAAGAAAAGCCUUAUGAAUGUAAGAAGCAUGAUGAGGCCUUUAGUUGUUCCAUUUUCACUUCAUGGCAUAACUUAUUCUGGAGAAAAACUAUGAAUGUAUGGAAUGUGGGAAUGUUUUCAUUUCUCAUAUGUAUGCAAAGAAACAUGGUAAUAGACACUGAAGAAAAUUUUAUAAAUAUAAGAAUGCAUACUGGAUUAAAGUACUAGUAGUAUAAAAAAUACAGAAAAAUGGCGUGAACCCGGGAGGUGGAGCUUGCAGUGAGCCAAGAUUGCAUAACCGCACUCCAGCCUGGGCGACAGAGUGAGACUCCAUCUCAAAAAAAAAAAAAAAAAAAAAGUACAGAAAAGUUAUCACUUUUAACAAUUACUUUAAAAGUCACGUGAAACUUCUACUGGAAAGAAAUCCUACACGUAAUAUGGAAAGCCUGGUGCAAAAUAAUUAUUGUAUAAUGCUUGUGAAAAUUCACAACAUGAAUAAAAUAUUACAU
rnacentral:lncRNA from 1 species